ACGAACGCUGGCGGCGUGCUUAACACAUGCAAGUCGAACGGAAAGGCCCCUUUGGGGGUACUCGAGUGGCGAACGGGUGAGUAACACGUGAGUAACCUGCCCUUGACUUCGGGAUAACUUCAGGAAACUGGGGCUAAUACCGGAUAGGAAUCCUUGCUGCAUCGUGGGGGUUGGAAAGCUUCGGCGGUUUUGGAUGGACUCGCGGCUUAUCAGCUUGUUGGUGGGGUAGUGGCUUACCAAGGCUUUGACGGGUAGCCGGCCUGAGAGGGCGACCGGCCACAUUGGGACUGAGAUACGGCCCAGACUCCUACGGGAGGCAGCAGUGGGGAAUAUUGCACAAUGGGCGGAAGCCUGAUGCAGCAACGCCGCGUGCGGGAUGACGGCCUUCGGGUUGUAAACCGCUUUCAGCAGGGGCGAAGCUUGUGGUGACGGUACCUGCAGAAGAAGCACCGGCUAACUACGUG
rnacentral:rRNA from 1 species